UACAGAGGGUGCGAGCGUUGUUCGGAAUUAUUGGGCGUAAAGGGCGCGUAGGUGGUGCGGUAAGUCACCUGUGAAAUCUCCUGGCUCAACUGGGAGCUUGCAGGCGAAACUGCCGUGCUGGAGUGUGGGAGAGGUGCGUGGAAUUCCUGGUGUAGCGGUGAAAUGCGUAGAUAUCAGGAGGAACACCUGUGGCGAAAGCGGCGCACUGGACCACAACUGACGCUGAGGCGCGAAAGCUAGGGGAGCAAACAGG
rnacentral:rRNA from 1 species